AUAAUGGGUCAGCGACUUAUAUUCUGUAGCAAGGUUAACCGAAUAGGGGAGCCGAAGGGAAACCGAGUCUUAACUGGGCGUUAAGUUGCAGGGUAUAGACCCGAAACCCGGUGAUCUAGCCAUGGGCAGGUUGAAGGUUGGGUAACACUAACUGGAGGACCGAACCGACUAAUGUUGAAAAAUUAGCGGAUGACUUGUGGCUGGGGGUGAAAGGCCAAUCAAACCGGGAGAUAGCUGGUUCUCCCCGAAAGCUAUUUAGGUAGCGCCUCGUGAAUUCAUCUCCGGGGGUAGAGCACUGUUUCGGCAAGGGGGUCAUCCCGACUUACCAACCCGAUGCAAACUGCGAAUACCGGAGAAUGUUAUCACGGGAGACACACGGCGGGUGCUAACGUCCGUCGUGAAGAGGGAAACAACCCAGACCGCCAGCUAAGGUCCCAAAGUCAUGGUUAAGUGGGAAACGAUGUGGGAAGGCCCAGACAGCCAGGAUGUUGGCUUAGAAGCAGCCAUCAUUUAAAGAAAGCGUAAUAGCUCACUGGUCGAGUCGGCCUGCGCGGAAGAUGUAACGGGGCUAAACCAUGCACCGAAGCUGCGGCAGCGACGCUGAUGCGUUGUUGGGUAGGGGAGCGUUCUGUAAGCCUGCGAAGGUGUGCUGUGAGGCAUGCUGGAGGUAUCAGAAGUGCGAAUGCUGACAUAAGUAACGAUAAAGCGGGUGAAAAGCCCGCUCGCCGGAAGACCAAGGGUUCCUGUCCAACGUUAAUCGGGGCAGGGUGAGUCGACCCCUAAGGCGAGGCCGAAAGGCGUAGUCGAUGGGAAACAGGUUAAUAUUCCUGUACUUGGUGUUACUGCGAAGGGGGGACGGAGAAGGCUAUGUUGGCCGGGCGACGGUUGUCCCGGUUUAAGCGUGUAGGCUGGUUUUCCAGGCAAAUCCGGAAAAUCAAGGCUGAGGCGUGAUGACGAGGCACUACGGUGCUGAAGCAACAAAUGCCCUGCUUCCAGGAAAAGCCUCUAAGCAUCAGGUAACAUCAAAUCGUACCCCAAACCGACACAGGUGGUCAGGUAGAGAAUACCAAGGCGCUUGAGAGAACUCGGGUGAAGGAACUAGGCAAAAUGGUGCCGUAACUUCGGGAGAAGGCACGCUGAUAUGUAGGUGAAGUCCCUCGCGGAUGGAGCUGAAAUCAGUCGAAGAUACCAGCUGGCUGCAACUGUUUAUUAAAAACACAGCACUGUGCAAACACGAAAGUGGACGUAUACGGUGUGACGCCUGCCCGGUGCCGGAAGGUUAAUUGAUGGGGUUAGCGCAAGCGAAGCUCUUGAUCGAAGCCCCGGUAAACGGCGGCCGUAACUAUAACGGUCCUAAGGUAGCGAAAUUCCUUGUCGGGUAAGUUCCGACCUGCACGAAUGGCGUAAUGAUGGCCAGGCUGUCUCCACCCGAGACUCAGUGAAAUUGAACUCGCUGUGAAGAUGCAGUGUACCCGCGGCAAGACGGAAAGACCCCGUGAACCUUUACUAUAGCUUGACACUGAACAUUGAGCCUUGAUG
rnacentral:rRNA from 1 species